GACCUCUCUGGUGGCCUAGUGGUUAGAGCGUCCGUCUUGGAUGCGGUAAGUCGUGGGUUCGAUCCACGCCCGAGUCA